CAGCAGCCGCGGUAAUACAGAGGGUGCAAGCGUUAAUCGGAAUUACUGGGCGUAAAGCGAGCGUAGGUGGCUUGAUAAGUCAGAUGUGAAAUCCCCGGGCUUAACCUGGGAACUGCAUCUGAAACUGUUAGGCUAGAGUAGGUGAGAGGGAAGUAGAAUUUCAGGUGUAGCGGUGAAAUGCGUAGAGAUCUGAAGGGAUACCGAUGGCGAAGGCAGCCUCCUGGCAUCAUACUGACACUGAGGCUCGAAAGCGUGGGUAGCAAACAGGAUUAGAUACCCUGGUAGUCCACGCCGUAAACGAUGUCUACUAGUCGUUGGGUCCCUUGAGGACUUAGUGACGCAGCUAACGCAAUAAGUAGACCGCCUGGGGAGUACGGCCGCAAGGUUAAAACUCAAAUGAAUUGACGGGGGCCCGCACAAGCGGUGGAGCAUGUGGUUUAAUUCGAUGCAACGCGAAGAACCUUACCUGGUCUUGACAUAUCUAGAAUCCUGCAGAGAUGCGGGAGUCCGUUCGGGAAUUAGAAUACAGGUGCUGCAUGGCUGUCGUCAGCUCGUGUCGUAAGAUGUUGGGUUAAGUCCCGCAACGAGCGCAACCCUUGUCCUUAGUUACCAGCGGGUUAAGCCGGGAACUCUAAGGAUACUGCCAGUGACAAACUGGAGGAAGGCGGGGACGACGUCAAGUCAUCAUGGCCCUUACGACCAGGGCUACACACGUGCUACAAUGGUAGGUACAGAGGGCAGCUACACAGCGAUGUGAUGCGAAUCUCAAAAAGCCUACCGUAGUCCAGAUUGGAGUCUGCAACUCGACUCCAUGAAGUAGGAAUCGCUAGUAAUCGCGGAUCAGAAUGCCGCGGUGAAUACGUUCCCGGGCCUUGUACACACCGCCCGUCACACCAUGGGAGUUGAUUGCACCAGAAGUGGAUAGCUUAACCUUCGGGGGAGCGUUCACCACGGUGUGGUUGAUGACUGGGGUGAAGUCGUAACAAGGUAGCCGUA
rnacentral:rRNA from 1 species